UUGAACGCUGGCGGCAUGCCUUACACAUGCAAGUCGAACGGCAGCACGGGUGCUUGCACCUGGUGGCGAGUGGCGAACGGGUGAGUAAUACAUCGGAACAUGUCCUGUAGUGGGGGAUAGCCCGGCGAAAGCCGGAUUAAUACCGCAUACGAUCUACGGAUGAAAGCGGGGGACCUUCGGGCCUCGCGCUAUAGGGUUGGCCGAUGGCUGAUUAGCUAGUUGGUGGGGUAAAGGCCUACCAAGGCGACGAUCAGUAGCUGGUCUGAGAGGACGACCAGCCACACUGGGACUGAGACACGGCCCAGACUCCUACGGGAGGCAGCAGUGGGGAAUUUUGGACAAUGGGCGAAAGCCUGAUCCAGCAAUGCCGCGUGUGUGAAGAAGGCCUUCGGGUUGUAAAGCACUUUUGUCCGGAAAGAAAUCCUUGGCUCUAAUACAGUCGGGGGAUGACGGUACCGGAAGAAUAAGCACCGGCUAACUACGUGCCAGCAGCCGCGGUAAUACGUAGGGUGCGAGCGUUAAUCGGAAUUACUGGGCGUAAAGCGUGCGCAGGCGGUUUGCUAAGACCGAUGUGAAAUCCCCGGGCUCAACCUGGGAACUGCAUUGGUGACUGGCAGGCUAGAGUAUGGCAGAGGGGGGUAGAAUUCCACGUGUAGCAGUGAAAUGCGUAGAGAUGUGGAGGAAUACCGAUGGCGAAGGCAGCCCCCUGGGCCAAUACUGACGCUCAUGCACGAAAGCGUGGGGAGCAAACAGGAUUAGAUACCCUGGUAGUCCACGCCCUAAACGAUGUCAACUAGUUGUUGGGGAUUCAUUUCCUUAGUAACGUAGCUAACGCGUGAAGUUGACCGCCUGGGGAGCACGGUCGCAAGAUUAAAACUCAAAGGAAUUGACGGGGACCCGCACAAGCGGUGGAUGAUGUGGAUUAAUUCGAUGCAACGCGAAAAACCUUACCUACCCUUGACAUGGUCGGAAUCCCGCUGAGAGGUGGGAGUGCUCGAAAGAGAACCGGCGCACAGGUGCUGCAUGGCUGUCGUCAGCUCGUGUCGUGAGAUGUUGGGUUAAGUCCCGCAACGAGCGCAACCCUUGUCCUUAGUUGCUACGCAAGAGCACUCUAAGGAGACUGCCGGUGACAAACCGGAGGAAGGUGGGGAUGACGUCAAGUCCUCAUGGCCCUUAUGGGUAGGGCUUCACACGUCAUACAAUGGUCGGAACAGAGGGUUGCCAACCCGCGAGGGGGAGCUAAUCCCAGAAAACCGAUCGUAGUCCGGAUUGCACUCUGCAACUCGAGUGCAUGAAGCUGGAAUCGCUAGUAAUCGCGGAUCACGCAUGCCGCGGUGAAUACGUUCCCGGGUCUUGUACUCACCGCC
rnacentral:rRNA from 1 species